GACGAACGCUGGCGGCGUGCUUAACACAUGCAAGUCGAACGAAGAGCGAUGGAAGCUUGCUUCUAUCAAUCUUAGUGGCGACCGGGUGAGUAACGCGUAAUCAACCUGCCCUUCAGAGGGGGACAACAGUUGGAAACGACUGCUAAUACCGCAUACGAUCUAAUCUCGGCAUCGAGGAUAGAUGAAAGGUGGCCUCUACAUGUAAGCUAUCACUGCAGGAGGGGAUUGCGUCUGAUUAGCUAGUUGGAGGGGUAACGGCCCACCAAGGCGAUGAUCAGUAGCCGGUCGGAGAGGAUGAACAGCCACAUUGGGACUGAGACACGGCCCAGACUCCUACGGGAGGCAGCAGUGGGGAAUCUUCCGCAAUGGACGAAAGUCUGACGGAGCAACGCCGCGUGAGUGAGGACGGCCUUCGGGUUGUAAAGCUCUGUUAAUCGGGACGAAAGGCCUUCUUGCGAAUAGGGAGAAGGAUUGACGGUACCGGAAUAGAAAGCCACGGCUAACUACGUG
rnacentral:rRNA from 1 species